UGCUCUAUCAUUCUCCCUCUUGGACUCCUCAGCUCCUCUAAGGUUUCUGAAAUGGUGCAGUCGCAGGCACCACCACUUCCACCCAACGACGGCAGCAGCGGAUUGCAUUAGGCAGUGCCUCCUCAAGUACAUCCUCUCCAUGGUCUCGUUCCUCCUCGCCAAGAACCCCGACGAUGGUUCUUCCCAAACCAUCACUGCGGACACCAAGCUCCGUGACAAAGGAGCUCCGCAAGGAGUUCAGCGCCAACCACGUACUGGCCGAGUGCCGCCGCAAGAAGCUGAACCAUAAACAAGGUGCUUCAUAUUUUUUGUUCCUUUUUCUCCAAAAACGAGGUGCUUCAGAUAUGCUCAUCAUCGGAGGGAAUCAAAUCGAAAGGAAAGGAAAGUGCAGAAUGGAGGACAUUCCGUAGUCGACGCUCUUUGAGCAAGACCACAAGAUCCACGCUCUUUGAACAAGACCACAAGAUCCACGCCGCAGCCACCAAUUUCAGCGCUGACCAGUUAUGCUAUACUCUUUGUCUCUCUUUUUGUUUUUGUUUUUGUGUUCUUCAUCGAAUGGACAUGCUGUUGGUGCUCUAUCCAUUUCCUUUCCUCUUCUAAUUAUGAGAGAAGUAGUGAGCCUUUUCUUUCAAAGGGGUGUCUCUAUGUCAAUGGAUUGGAAAUCCGCUUGGUUCUUGGCUUAUAUAAUAUUGGGUGUUUUGGUUGAAUUCUAAUCUAAAACUCUUGUGCCAGACGCACUUUUGUUUUUGGGUUGCACUGCAGAUUUUGAUGAGAAAGGUGAACAUUUUCUUGGCUCUUAGUAUUUUCUCUGGUGCAUAUAUUUUAUUUUGGGGUCUUAAAUGUAGAUUGAGUUCAAAAGAAAGAAUGUUCUUGGAAUGGAUGAGUCUUUCCCAUUCAUAGCAUUCGCAGCAGUUCAUCCUCGUGGGUCCCCCCAAACUUUCAACUUUUUGUUUCUGUUUGAAGAUACUUCACUAUUUACCCCGUAUUAAUCUAUUUUUGCACUCUGUUGUUCCCUGAAUGUAUUCUCUAAAUUUAUUUAUUGAAUUUUGGGAUGAUUGUGACCAUUCCUUUGGUGAACUUACUAUGUUAUUUUUAACUUCCCUGAACCGAAGUGCUCCUUUAUGAGGUCCCUUAAUUUAAUAUUUACUUUUGAAAAGACCAGUGCAACAUUUAAUUGUUGACUUGUAGUUUGAUUUUUCUAACUCAUUUACUUAUGUUAAUUGUGUUUUCAAAGGUCCAAUCUUGGUUCCUUGUCAGUAGUCCUUCCUUCAACAGGCAGAACUAGAGGUACAGUGCAUCGACAGAGUAGUGGAAUUGAAAAUUCCAGUAAUCCUCCAAAGCUUCGUAGGAAUGCCUCUACUUCAUGUCAUACAAUUAGCACUUCCCAAUAUGGUCCUUCAGAUCCAGGUUAUACUUGAAAGGACAAUUUUGUUAGUUAUUAUUAACACUUAUUUUUCAUAAAUUUAUGAGAUAACUUUAUUAACAUUUAGAACUUUAAAUUACCUUGUUUUGCUAGUUUUUGGGUCUGUUGUCCUUCCCAUUGUUUGGUUUUAUCAUAUUUCUUUUAAUUUUGUACUGUAGUAUGCUAUAUGUGCUUCCUUACAAUAUAAUGCUUUUACGGUAGUGAGUUUAGUAAUAGCCAUGUUUUCAGGGUGAUUGCUUUUAGGUAGAUUUUUAUAUUUAUAUUUCUAAUCAAACCCAACCAUUAAAAAUCCACAUAAAUGGCAAUAUUGAAGGAAGAAUUCAACGCGAAUAGUAAAUUGACGACAUAGCGUAUGGUCAUGAAGAGUUUUUCUUUUCGGUUUCUCCAUUGGGUUUGGGUAGAUAGAAAUUUUUAGUUUGGUCCUGAUCACAGGAAUUUAUUAUACUGUAUUGUUUUACAGUCCAAAGCAGUCUGGAAUCGUCCCAAUGCAAUGCUUAGAGAUUUA